rnacentral:lncRNA from 1 species
UUUGUAUUUGUAAUUCGGACUUCUGGGGAUGACCCUGAAGUCCUGCCCUGGAUGAAAGUCCUAGGGUUGCUUGAUUUGAUCUGCGCAGAAUUUGUAAUUUGUAUUUGAUCUGCGCAGAAUUUGUAAUUGAACCAUAGGGUAAGCAGACUUGCGAGAACCUUGGUUCCACCCUGGAUGAAAGUCCAAGGUUUGGUUGUAAUUUUGGUUUGGGGCACCAUUUCUUUGCCGCGGUUUGUGCUGUCUAAUGUGCUGUCAUUUGUGUUAUGUGUUUCUUAAGCAUCUCUUUCUGUCCCACAUUGCCCAUGCACGUGGCAUGCAUGGGUCAGGGGUCUUUUCUUGUUGCCCUAAGCACAUGGCACGGGAAAGGAGUUCUGCCAUGUGUCACGGGUUAGAAUGUGUUAUGUUGGAGGCGUUGGUGGCAUACGCCUUUAAUCCCACCACUCGGGAGUAAGAGGCAGAUGGAUCUUUAUGAGUUCAAGGCCUGCCUGGUCCGGCAGAUCGAAUUCCAGGACAGGCUCCAAAGUCACAGAAAAACCCUGC